AAAAGAGGGGGACCYUUCGGGCCUCUCGCGUCAGGKUAUGCCUAGGUGGGAUUAGCUAGUUGGUGAGGUAAGGGCUCACCAAGGCGACGAUCCCUAGCUGGUYUGAGAGGAUGAUCAGCCACACUGGAAACUGAGACACGGUCCAGACUCCUACGGGAGGCAGCAGUGGGGAAUAUUGCACAAUGGGCGCAAGCCUGAUGCAGCCAUGCCGCGUGUGUGAAGAAGGCCUUCGGGUUGUAAAGCACUUUCAGUCGUGAGGAAGGUAGUGUAGUUAAUAGCUGCAUUAUUUGACGUUAGCGACAGAAGAAGCACCGGCUAACUCCGUGCCAGCAGCCGCGGUAAUACGGAGGGUGCGAGCGUUAAUCGGAAUUACUGGGCGUAAAGCGCAUGCAGGUGGUUUGUUAAGUCAGAUGUGAAAGCCCGGGGCUCAACCUCGGAAUAGCAUUUGAAACUGGCAGACUAGAGUACUGUAGAGGGGGGUAGAAUUUCAGGUGUAGCGGUGAAAUGCGUAGAGAUCUGAAGGAAUACCGGUGGCGAAGGCGGCCCCCUGGACAGAUACUGACACUCAGAUGCGAAAGCGUGGGGAGCAAACAGGAUUAGAUACCCUGGUAGUCCACGCCGUAAACGAUGUYUACUUGGAGGUUGUGGCCUUGAGCCGUGGCUUUCGGAGCUAACGCGUUAAGUAGACCGCCUGGGGAGUACGGUCGCAAGAUUAAAACUCAAAUGAAUUGACGGGGGCCCGCACAAGCGGUGGAGCAUGUGGUUUAAUUCGA
rnacentral:rRNA from 1 species